rnacentral:other from 1 species
GCGAGCCCGGCGGUUCGACACGACAAACGGGGCGAAUCUUUCUCCUACACCGUCUAUCCAGGGAUCUGCCUCUGUCUCGGGAGUGCAUGCCCGCACGUCGGGAAGCCCGAUGAGAUAUCGCGGAGCCCACCUACCACGUUGGUAGGGGAUAGAUUACGCCCUACGGUCGAGCCUGUCGGGCUCGUU